rnacentral:rRNA from 1 species
AACGAACGCUGGCGGCGCGCCUAAUACAUGCAAGUCGAGCGAGAAGACGUAGCAAUACGUUUGUAAAGCGGCGAACGGGUGAGGAAUACAUGGGUAACCUACCCUCGAGUGGGGAAUAACUAGCCGAAAGGUUAGCUAAUACCGCGUACGCUCCUUGGACUUCGGUUCAGGGAGGAAAGCGAUACCGUGGGUAUCGCGCCCUUGGAUGGGCUCAUGUCCUAUCAGCUUGUUGGUGAGGAACGGCUCACCAAGGCUUCGACGGGUAGCUGGUCUGAGAGGACAAUCAGCCACACUGGCACUGCGACACGGGCCAGGCUCCUACGGGAGCAGCAGUAAGGAAUAUUGCGCAAAUGGGCGAAAGCCUGACGCAGCGAUGCCGCGUGGGGGAUGAAGGUCUUCGGAUUGUAAACCCCUUUCGGGAGGGAAGAUGGAACGAGCAAUCGUUCGGACGGUACCUCCAGAAGCA